rnacentral:snRNA from 1 species
AUGUUCGCUUCGGCAGCACAUAUACUAAUGUUGGAACAAUACAGAAGAGAAGAUUAGCAUGGUCCCUGUGCAAGAAUGACAUGCAAAUUCGUGAAGAGUUCCAUAUAUUA